rnacentral:rRNA from 1 species
CCCUUAGAUGUUCUGGGCCGCACACGCGCUACACUGAAGGAGGCAGCGUGUACUCCUGGAUCGAAAGAUUUGGGUAACCCGCGAAUCUCCUUCGUGCUAGGGAUUGAGGUUUGCAAUUAUCCUUCAUGAACGAGGAAUUCCCAGUAAGUGCAAGUCAUAAGCUUGCGCUGACUACGUCCCUGCCCUUUGUACACACCGCCCGUCGCUACUACCGAUUGAAUGAUUUAGUGAGGACUUCGGACUGGGACCGAUGCGGCUUUCGGGCUGCGUCGGUAUUCUGGAAAGAUGUCCAAACUGUAUCAUUUAGAGGAAGUAGAANUCGUAACA